ACAGUGGAUGCAUGUGGAAGCUUCUAGAACAUUCCGAGUUCGGCAACUGUAUGCCAGCUACGGUUUCUUUUUUUUUUUUCAUUUUAUUUGUUCGUUUGACUUCACCAUCACCAGUCACGCCGAGCGCAGUGAUAACGGUGGCGCGGCCGCUAGCGAGCCAGUGACGUUGUUCGAGAAGAGACCAAUGAGAGAAGAAAAGAAACGGCCGGGCGUAUCAACGCAUGCGCCAAAGUGCUUAGCAUCGUGGUUGUCGUGGUCAUAUAACGAACAUCCGGAUGCUCGGGCCGCCAUUUUGCAUUUUUCUGUCGACUUCGAUGGGCCUCGUGUCGGCUGCCCUCUGCGUCGUACCGUACCCCGCGGUCCUGCUGCUCCUCAUUACGCGCUAACGGUGGCAGCGCUUGACGAACUCGGGCCAGACUUUGGAAGAACUAUGGCUUAAUCCCCCAAGGACUGCAAAAUGUGAGGCACGCUUCGAGAGACUUUGCUGCCUCCUUCUCGGCAAUUCGUCGUGCUCCUUUGCGAACUCCCGGAAUAUAUGUGACGGCCAGCUGGCAUUUCAGCCCUUGGGGCAUCCCGGUUAAGCCGGCGCAGCGUAUAAGUCGCAAGUCAUGCCUGCCGAGGACUCGUUCUUUUGUUUGUGUGUGUUCCCAUUCGUCGGCGACGCCUGGACCACGCCUGGACCAUGAACUGUGGAGGAGCAACUCCGACCAUGGCUGUUAACGGAGGACCUUCGCGGCAACCCUUCACGGCGAGCGUCGUCACGGCGAGCUUCCAGACGUCGAGCGUCGUCAGCGCUCACGAGCUAAGUCCUAUAGAUGGUCCCCAAGCUGGCGAGGGUGGCGCACGCCUUAGCGAAGUUAACUGUUGAGUUCCACUAGUUAGCGCUCGCUGGGAUUGUAUAGCUACAUUUGAAAGUUACGUAAAGUUUUGUUGCUUAACUGCAAGCCCGAGGAGUUUCGUGGGCAUGGCUGCGACCACAUGGGUCUCCCCCGUGCCGGAAUCGAAGAGGACGGCCACCGUGUUCGGGGUGGCGGCGUGUGUAGCUUCAGGCUUAGCUGACACACAGCUUAGCUCACACUAGGCAGGCUAGCUGAUAGCGUCCUCUUUUCGACUGCGGCAAGGACAUGGACCCGUUCCGAAUUGCACUGCGACCCGACCACUAUUUCGGGACAAGGUAGCCCGGGCGCGUCAGUGCUACCGAGCGAAAUGUGGAAUCGGGGGAGCACUCGGAAUUACCUCGCCAGCUUUUAGCUACUAAUCCUGCUUAACGCAGCCCUCGACGCCGGACGUCGCCUUCGGCUCUCGUCGGAGCUCGGCCGGGCAGCAGCGACAAGCAUCACUCGCACCGCGGUCUACCGUGUUCCCUCGUUGGUGUGGUCUUGCUGGUAGGCGAGACCAGGGUCAUCACCCUGCACUACUACGGGAUCCCAACGUUUGCUUGAUUGCGGCCCACGAGUAGGAAGGAUAUCCAGUGUGCUGCUCCACGUUUGCCAUCCUCCCAACGUCCUCGCACGGGAGAUGGCCUUGAGCACCACUCGUACCGUGGCUGGCCGCGUGGGCUCCAUUGCCUUCUACCACCCAUGGCGCCCUGCUGGCAGACGGGACUUCCUUCGGAGCCCUGCUACUACUGAAUCUUGACCUCUGCUUUCGGUUGCGGCCCACGAUCGAGUAGGAUGUCCAGUGUGCUGCUCCACGUUAGCCAUCCUCCCGACGUCCCCACGGGAGAUGGCCCUGAGCACCACUGCGGCCCACCGCGCUCCAUCGCCGGUGUGCGGUCUCGCUGGCUGACGAGACUGCUCAUCGCCCUGCAUUACUACGUGAUCCCAACGUCUGCUUUCGAUUGCGCCCUGCGAGUAGGAAGGACAACAGUGUGCCGCUCCUUGCCAUCCCCCCAACGUCCUCCCCAGGAGAUGGCCUUGAGCACCACUCGCACCGUGGCAGACCAUGUUUGUUACAUUGCAUUCCCUCACCGAUGGCGUCCUGCAGGAAGACGGGACUUGUUCCUACUACUGUUGUUCGUUUUCAAUGGCGGUGCACGAAGACAAUCCAGGCAGUGUUUCCAAAAGACGAGAUCACAUUGAGCAGCAAUCGUCCCAUGGCUGUCCACCUGAGCAUAUUGGCCGACAACUGUGGACAUCGAAGUCUGAGCGGGGCCACAAACCGAGGACCUGCAAAGCAAGCCCUCGUCACAGCGAGCUUCUUUCUGCGCGACGAGCUUAAAUGCUCAUCAAGUAAGACAGAUGCCAGAUGUUCUCCAAGCUGGCGAGGAUGUCGCACGCUAUUGAGAAGUUGUCAGUUGAGUGUAGCUGUAUUCGAAAAUUACGCAAGUUUAGUUUAGGUUAUUAAUUGUAAGCCCGAAGUUUGUGGGCACUGCUGCGGCGACAUCGGGUCUUCUCCGUGACGGAAUCGAUGAGGACGGACCACGCCCGUGGUGGCGGCGGGUGUAGCUUCAGGCUUAGCGAAUUGCGGGUAGGCUUAGCUGACGCCCGGCAGGCUAUAGCUGACAGCCGUCCUCUUUCGAUUGCGCCAGGGACAUUAACCCGUUCUGCAUGUCCUUGCGACCCGACCACUAUUUCGUGACAGGGUAGCCCGGGCGCGUCAGUGCUAUCGAGCGAAAUGUGGAUUCGUGGAAGCAAACGACAUCCGGAAUCGCCUCGCCAGCUUUAGCUGCCGUGGCAUCGCACGUCGCCUUGGGUCUCCAGCGGAGCUCGGCCCUGCAGUAGCUAAUGUAAGUGGUCCAUUUCGUUGCAAUUGCAGCUGUUCGUUUUUGGCGUUUACGCUCCCCCCUUCGUUGCAGAGGAUGCCCUUGAGAACCACACGUCGAUGACCUUGAGACCAUGCUCGCUUCGCAUUCCCUCGCCGGUGGUCUUGCUGGUGGACGAUGCUUUGUUCCUCGCCCGGCACAACUCCUGGCAAGUACCUUGAACACUCGAAUCGUACUAUGGCCGUGUUCUCGAGUAUUUAAUAAGCCCCGCGUGCUUUCAGGUUCCGACCGUCUGCUUUCGACUGCGGCUAUUCCCAAGGAUAUCCGGCGCGCUUCUGCAGUCUAGUCUCCGGCCUACGCUACAGAGAUGCAUUUGAGCUCUACUCGUCCUACAUGGCCGGCUGUGUUACGUCUGCGUUUUCUCGCCUGUGGCUUCCUGCUGAGAGUGUCGUUCGGCUCAGUGCGGUAGUUCUGGCUAGAACCACGUACACUUCAAUCCUACCACGGAUGUGUUCUCGCGUGGUUUAUCAGCCCUGCGGCAUUUCAGAUUCCGAACGUCUGCUUUUGAAUUAAGCGUCGCAGAAGUUGUUCCAAUGACGGCUCUUGUUCGUUGCUGUCGGUUGCCUUUAAUAUGCAGGCUCUCGAGGUUUCGUUUAUGCUUGGGAAAGCUUCUUUCUCCACGCAUAUUUUCCAAAAGGCUCUUAAAUGACGCUCUCCACGGAAAACGAUGUCGCCUUUCCUCAGUUCCUGGUGACAUUUCUGAGCUUUCAUUUUCGAACCUCUAAAUGCUUUCGUGUAGUCGGAGGACCAUAUUUUUCAGGCUCCACGUGGUUUCCACAUUUAUUAAAGGCUGCCGUCCUAUUCAUCAGUCUCCUCCCAGUCUUGUUUCCGCCAGUCGGUUCCGAAGGAGUUGGCGUAUAGGCUCUCCAGGUUCAUCGUAAACCUAUGUUAGCGACUGGUUGUUCAUGAUAUCUAGUUCGUAUGUUAAGGUAUAUAUUUCUCCAAUAUGCGGUGCGUACACAUCGGCCAAUCGUUUUUCGCAGUUGACUUGAAACUAUGGAUUAGCCUUUCAGAGAAACCACCCCCCCACGGAGCGUUUUCCAGAUGAAAUCGUCACUUGGAGAUUGGUGACGAAAUCUCGAGCUGUUUCGCGAUGUAAUGUAGAGACCGCAUUGAAUUGUCAGCUUCAUGAAAGUCUUUCGUUGUCGUUGAGCGCGUUUCUUUUCGAGCCAAGAAGCGCCGAAAAGCUUGUAUAAAACUGAGCUGAAGCGUCUCAAGGUUUCCAAGUGUGCAGCUCUUGUCACGGCACAUGUGAAAAUUACUACGUAAAUUUUGAGUGUCAAUUUUUGUUGUAGUGGCUCCCAGAGCACCGGUGAAAUGUAGGCCAGCUGUUUCAAACGGUGCGGUCUUCGUCGCUCUAUCGGCAGGAAGAGGUACUUCCUGUUACAAUGGUCUGAAAUUGCACCGUCGCCACACAACGCACUGUCAUGUUACGUCUUUCACUUAUUUUCGUCCUCUGAUUACCCAAAAUCUGGUUCUUACGAGAGUCAGUGUCAGGCACUCAGCCGUGACAAGUUUGUCCAUAUACGUGUCGAAAUUGUGUCGACAGAUUUCUUCCAUGUAAUUGAUCUGGUGCUGCUCGUCUUGUCAUAUGGGCCCUACCGAAGGCGCCCUUCAAGUCUCAACAGGCCUCCUUUGUCUUAAAGCAUUUGGCAUUCGCGUAUGGUCUUGCUUGCUGAAUUUCUUCAAUUCUCUUGUAAUUUUGGUCUAGCGAAAUGAGACGUUUCGGCGGUAUUUCGUCUGCUUUUAGUGGACCGUUGAGCUUGUCUUCUAAUAUCGUUUACGCGACGAAACAUCCACGCAGUUACUCUCGAAAUAUACAAGUAACUGCCGAAUCUGUCAACUUCAACUCCUCGUCUUACGAUAAUGUCCGACGUAAAUGUAAGACGUGAUUCAUUGUCUGUCCUUUCAUUGUUAUCCGGCUCUUUGUAACACGGCUUUUUUUUUUUGUAGCACCUCUGAUUCCUUCCAAAAUUUUGAUGACGAAAUCUGUUAUACGGUGACACUUGUCAGAUCUGCUGUUUCUUCAUUACUGCUGGUGUAGCCCCCUUUUUUGCCAUUGAGUAAUCCAGCUCAUUUCUACGAGCAUGUUCAAUGGACGCUUCAGCGCAUUGUUUCUUUAUCCAAUGCAGCACCUUUGUAGCAGUGGUUCAAAACUUUAGUUUGUCAAUUUCUCGUUUUGGAUUGUUCUUGAUGCAGCUCCACAUAACAUUGUUGCUCGCAAGUUCUUUAUUUGCGAGACUGACAACGGUCUUCAUUAGAGCUACUCUGUUCUUUGCCAGAAUCAGUUCUGUACGUCUGUCUCAGAACUGCGUACUCUGCACUUGCAUACGCCACCGGCUUGCAUCCCAGAAAAUGUUAGUGCUUAUGUUUCUUGUUGAUAUGCUCGGUAGGCAUUUAGUCUGAUAUUUUUUUAACUUCCUCGAUUCAUUCCUACAUAGAUCAUCUAUAAUCGGCUGGAAAAGGGUUGUCCCAAGUUAUUCCGGUUUUUCCCAGUCAUUGAAUACCGCUAUUAGCUGUUACAGUGAAGGACGUUAGGAAUUCCAGCGGACCAAAUACUUUUGCCCUGACUUGAAGUCGUAUGCGUUUCGUGAGCAUUUCUCUCAAGCCAUUCGCCCAUAUUUUGAUGGUAUAGCAAAAUAUCGUCGGUCUUGUCCCAGUUCAUUCCUUAAAUACUGGUCUCGCUACGUUAGAACACCAGCUUCAUGGGCAUAAAAAAAAUUCUUCAGUGAUUGAUGUUCAUUUCCUACGGUUCAUUGCAACUCGGCGAAAAUUAUUUUUGCUUCUAUGUACACACAUUUUGCCUGGUUUUCUGCUCAUCCAAGCAUAACGUCAACGCAAAUCGAAUUGCUCCUGCUGUCAUCGAAAAUGAAUUGUUUCGAAAAAUCAUUAUUAGUGUUCUACCUGGAUUCAAAUUUACUAUUGCUUGAAAGUUUCUUUUCCACGUCUCCUGCCAUUGCAACUGGGAUGCUUCGAAAAUUAAUUACUGUUAGUACAUCUGUAUUCAAAUUCCCUCCUGUCUGAAGGUUUGGAAUGCGUUUUCCAUGUCUGCUAUCAUUGCAACCAUUGCAACUCAGUGGUUUCGAAUUUUCAUUCAGUGUUUGUAUAUCUGGAUUCAAAUUUUUUCUUGCUUAAUGUUUUGCAUUCAGUAUAUUCCUGAUCUGGACCACGAGGCGUCAAAUACUAUGCUUUCUUCUUUUCUAGGUCUUCUCAAGUUGCUUGAUGCAGCAUAUAGUAUUUAACGCGUUCAUAUUCUUCCGACAGCGCUUGUUGUGCCAUUCCAGGCGUGCAAUAUCUUGCAUUGCAGUUGUACAUUCCUCUCGGUACUGAAUUUGUUACUCUUUGCGUGGGAGUCUCGUCUCUCUCCAUCCUGCUGAACAGUCCUUGUGGAUGAUGUUGUAGGAGGACGCGUCGGCCGCUAAGGAGCCGUGCCGUCGUCCCUACCUUUACUUUGACAGAAGGGCGAAGGCGGCGAGCCGAGUGGCGGCUGCGACGACCAGCGUUCAGGCUAUCUUCUAGAACGACACUGCGAGUGAUGAUGAUCCUUUAUCAUGGCUCGCUCCCACUGAGGGGUGGGAAGAGGAGGAAACAACUUUAAGAGAAAUUUCAGGGCGUUGUAGGUGGCCCUUGUCUGCGGCGACCUCUUCCGCCCAGGCAAUGAUUCCUUCUUGUAGCUUCUGGGCACCGUAUUAGGGUCUCCUAUGUCGUUUCAGAGGGAGCUGGCAGCUCUCUGGGUGGGGGAAGGCCCUCGCAUUCCCAGAGGAUGUCUUUGGUUUGCUAUGGCAUUUUUGGCGCAGUUUUUGCAUAUUGGGUCAACCUCCCCAUCUGUAAAGAUCGCUAAAUGAUGAGGGGGAUAGGCCAAGAAUCGGGCGGCAGUAGGUAGCUAAAGUGCCGAGCUUGCGCCUCGAGCACGAGGCUCUUUAUUCUCUUCGUUGACAGACUGAGAGCGCUGACCAAAGCGCUCCCCAUUUCGGCGUCGGCGGGCGCUACAGGGCCCCCGUCCAGACGCAACGUCGAGAUGGGGAAGCAGUGGAACCACGUUUCAAGUGUCCGUGGACAGUCCAAGUUGUUAACGUGAAGGCAUCGGUUCGCCACCACCACUCAGCCGGACCGCACUGGGUGCUCUUCAGCGGGCGAGGGGUUCACGGAACGGAUGCUGUUUGCCGGAACGCGUCUACCCGGUGCGUCGACGGUGCCAGCGCGAGCGUUGCCGAAGGCGUAUCGCGGACCACACUAUUACAUGGCGUGUAGGGUGCGCGCACGAGCGAUAGUGUUGCCCUGGACGGGUCGCGACGCGUGCCUUGCAGGUGGACGCGGCACACCCUGUCGGGAGGCGACAAGGAUCGGGUGCAGUCGGCGAUGGGGACGCAUCGUGAGGAAGCCACGGGCCGGCCGGGCAAAGUGGGGUCAGGGGCCACAGGGGUGUCUGGUGGUUUGAGGACGCCUGAAGCGGAAUGCAGCGCAGCCGCCACUGCGACAUCGCAAAAGCCGCGAGCGGGACGAGGCCGUGAGGCGCUCAGCGACGAGGCGCGAAUGUCCGCGCAGGCAGCACAGGUGAAGACCCGAAUGGGCUGGAUAGGUGGAGUGACCUGUGCCAACUGCGCUGAAGACUGCGCUAACCGCUGGAGAUAUGGCCCGUUCGAUGUCGGGUGUCCACGGUGGCGAUAACUGGCAGGGUCGGAGGCAGGGAGAUCGGCACGGUGCGCAGCUCGCCCGCCGGCUCGGAGUCCUGCUCAGUGGACGGGUCGGGUGUCGUCGGCGGAGCGAUGUCGUUGAAGACAGACCCGAUGGCGUGCGGCACGGGAGCCGGCGUUGGGUCGGCGAUGUCUCCACUGCCACGUGUCAUCGUCGGUGGCAAUAAAGGCAAUGAGGUGGCCUGAGGACGAUGGCAUACGGGCGCAGGAGCAGGCGCGCUUGGUGCUGGCCGCGAGGGUGUUGGCUGAGAUGAAUCGCGUACCGUGUGGUCAACCUCUGGAAGAGGGCGGUAGACAGCCUCAAAGUUGAGGACGGACUGCCCCAGUUCGUCGUACGGGCGCAUGUCUGGCGAUGGAACGCCGAGGAGCUGGAGAGCCAGCGGCAGGACGUCGAGGAGUACCGCCUACUUGAACUCGUGGAUCCAUAUGGGGUUCAGCUCCAGAGCCGCCUCGAACUGGGCGAACCAUGCGCCGACGUAGCUGGACGAGAACGGCGGCAGUGGUGGGUUGUACUGUUGCUCCAGCCAGGUGGCCAUGGCAGCGUGUCGCUCGGUGCAAGGCGCGUUCUUCCGGGUCACCACUAUAGGAGGACGUGACGGCGGCUAAGGAGCUGUGCCAUCGUCCUUACCUUUGACAGAAGGGCGAAGGCGGCAAGCCGAGCGGCGGCUGCGACGAACAGCGUUCAGGCUAGCUUCUAGAACGGCACUGCGAGUGAUGAUCCUUUUUCAUGGCUCGCACCCACUGAGGGGGAGGACGAGGAAACAACUUUAUAAAGGAAAUUUCAGGGCGUUGUAGAUGGCCGCUUGUCUGCGGCGACCUCUUUCACCCAUGCAAUGAUUCCUUUUUGUAGCUUUUCUUCUGGGGACCGUAUUAGGGUCUCCCAUGUCGUUUCAGAGGGAGCUGGCGGCUCUCUGGGUGGGGGAAGGCCCUCGCAUUCCCAGUGGAUGUCUUUGGUUUGCUAUGGCGAUUUUUAUCGCAGUUCUUGCAUAUGGCUAAGCGAUGAGGCCAAGAAUCGGGCGGCAGUGGGUAGCUGAAGGGCCGAGCUUGCGCCGAUCGAGCGCGCGCUGCGCCUCUUUAUUUUUCUCUUGACAGACUGGGAGCACCGACCAAAGCGCUGGUGGGUGCUACAAUGUAACUACAUGGCCCAAUUCAAGCAUUGUUUUUCUGAGGAGUUAUGGCAAUAUUUUCCAUUUUCCACAACUUCAUCAUUUCGUGAAUUUCGUCAGUUUCUGCGGCGUGAAGAACCGUGAAGGGUUUCACGUUUCGUACUUAUUCUACACCACAUGGGCCAUGGACAAUCCAGUCAAGAAUGUUUUCCAUUGUGUGUUUAGUCAUUUUACCCCUUUUGUUAUCGGUUCCCAGUAAAAAUCAGAUCGAAGAGUCUCUUGCGUUUUUUCAGUUGUCAUCCGCAAUCAAUAUUCCCAUCCUGUUCGUAUAUAAAUUUUCGUUAAGUCGACGAAGUCGUCCUUUUGAUAUUACGUCUAUUUCAAUGGCCUUUAUUAGUUACUAAUGCACCGUCUAGAUUUGUUUUGAUAAAGAUUUUACUACAGUCCUCUCACUUUAUCUUCGUCCAAAUGCUCCCAGCGUGAGUACCUGUGCGGUCGAAUUUACAACCUAGUUUUCGUGCCACACAGGCCCAUGUAUUCUUGUUGACUUCCACAUUAAAUUCUUGCAUCCUCUCCUCUAUUUUAACAUUCUGCCCAUGCUGCGUCCGUGUAUAGAACUGAACGGUAUUCUUGCUGUUUAGGAGAUGCUAGUUGCCAUCAGCCACAUCGCACUUUCUUUUUGCAUCGUUUUACUUGCUCUCGUUCAUUUUCGUUCUACACAUUUCAUUUGGCUUCGCAACGCUUGCAAACUACGGUUGCAUUGCAAGAUUUUGCACUAUAUUUUGGUCUCGCAUACCGGGAGCAUGUUUUCGUAUAGAAGCUUCUGCUUCAUGUCCUAUAUUGAUCGGCGGCAGUCUUCAGUGAAGCGGUUUUUUAUUCGCAUAGCCACAUAAUUUUGGGAUUGAGCUUUCAAGUCUUGCACGUGAAGUUUGGUCUAUAAACCCAUUUUCUUUGAGCAUUCUUCACUGCCUUCGGAAUAAUGGAGUCACUCGAUGCACCUUCUUGCAAAAAUCUGUUUCGUGACUCUGCACUAGACAUUCCUUUGUUUCUUCCUCGUACGGACUGUUCAGUGUGCCCGGAGAAGCUUGAACUAUCUUUAUAAAACUUGCAGUCCAUGAAUGGUUCUCGUGGCGUCCUACGCUUCCAAAUUGGCAUCAUCGUUGGAACGUACAAAUCUACAUUCACUCCGAGCGCUUUCACUGCAAUCAUGUGUACUUAGACCGUCUGGCAGAAUCCUCGCAAAUCUUUGAAGUCAUCGGGAUUCUUGACUGGUAUUUACUUGAUCAACGCAUUCAUGGGAGUUUCCUUUAAAUGUUCAUUACCGUAUUCUUCCUUCAAAAGCUACACAGCUGUCUAGUAAUUAUCGGAGUACUGCCGCCCUUAAAUCAGUGCAGCUAGCUGCCUUGUCAUCAAAGGCAAAGUAUUGGAACUUGUGGCACAUUCUGUCGAAGACGAAUUGCGCUUUCAAACGGUCUCCACUGUCUUUGCCACAUCAACUUGUUGCCAUCAAACAUUAACAUCUUUAGGCAGUUUCACUUAACUGCCAUGAUCCGGGGACCGAUUGACUGACACUGACUGGUUACUUUCUAUUGCUGCAUUAUCGCAAUCAUUCGUCGUUUGUCAGCUUAUUUAUACUGGGCUAUCUUUCAAAUUGUAAUUGCCGUCAUGCCGUAUUCUACUUUCUAAAAUUUAUCGGACACUGUUUCCUUCAUGACGAACGUCUCCAUCUGUGAAUUUGCGGCUCGGCAACUGUUAUGCCCUUGAUUUGACUAAGGCUCGGGAUUACAGAACCUACGUCGUCUCCAUCGCUCACUUUUCUUUCUGCCUCUAAUGAGGUUCAUUAUCUCCAUCCUCAGUUUUCCCUCGUUUGCGAAACCUUUCUAUUCAUGUUCAAAAUACAGGCUUGCAUUCACAAAGUAGCGAUGGCUUCUAUUCUCUUUUGCGGUGGCUCUCGGCUCCACUCUAGCUGUCAUGCCAAUCGCAUGACAGCUAGCUUUUUUUUUUUCUUCACUGUUGUCCUUGGUGGCGAGUCAAUUGCGGAUCACAAGACACCCAGCCCACUCCUACAUAUUGAAUCUCCGGUCUACGCUCCAGAAUUACAUCGCGCACGAGCACCACCCGUUCCAGGAGCGACUGUCAUCACUUCUACAUUCUCUCGCCGAUGGCGUCCUGCUGCCAGACUCGACUGUCCUUCUCACCCUGCACUACUACUGGUUCUGAGCUCCUGUUUUGGAUUGCGGCCCACAAAGAUACCCAGCCCGCUCCUGCACGUUGACUCUCCGGUCUACGCUCCAGAGGAGAUUACAUCGCGCACGAGCACCACCCGUUCCAGGAGCGACUGUCAUCACUUCUACAUUCUCUCGCCGAUGGCGUCCUGCUGUCAGACUCGACUGUCCUUCUCACCCGGCACUACUACUGGUUCUGACCUCCUGUUUUGGAUUGCGGCCCACAAAGAUACCCAGCCCGCUCCUGCACGUUGACUCUCCGGUCUACGCUCCAGAGGAGAUUAGAUCGCGCACGAGCACCACCCGUUCCAGGAGCGACUGUCAUCACUUCUACAUUCUCUCGCCGAUGGCGUCUUGCUGUCAGACUCGACUGUCCUCACCCGGCACUACUACUGGUUCUGAGCUCCUGUUUUCGAUUGGGGUCCACAAGGACACCCAGCCCGCGCCUGCAUAUUGGCUCUCCAGUCUACGCUCCAGAGUCGAUUACUUCGAGCUCCCCUCGUCCUGUGACUGACCAUGUUUGCAUUGCUACAUUCCUUCGCCGAUGGCGUUCUGCUGGUAUACUGGACCUAUCCUGGAGCCCUUGCACUUUGGUUGCGAGGGUGUUAUCGCUUGUGGCGCGAGAUAAUUGUUUCAGCACGCUCAUUUACGACAACACUCCUGGCCUGUCCUCAAGAGCGACAAUCCAGCCUGAUCGUCCUGCCGCAGACACAGCACGCUUGCUCUGACAUGUGUAAGCGUCGUACGCCUCCGUCUUGGCGGUGUCCUGCACGGUGUUGGCGGCGUGUUAACUGUUCUGAAGGACUGCUUGUCGUCACCGUCCCGCAACCGUCCAUCGGAUGUACUUUAGUUUCUGUUGCGUUUUUUUUUACCUAAACAGAUUUAAUGUUUCGUUUAGCAAGCUUUUCUGAUUUGAAAUAGUGAUACGUUGCUCAACGAAUGGAUGGCGCUUCUAGCAAUUAAAAUACGAAGCAGAACAGUAAGGUCUGGUUACGUGGACACCACCCAGUUUUCAGAAGGGUUGUUGAAGUCUUCAUGAUCAGAUCUGCAAAUUUUUGGUGGCGAGAGUAAUGGACAUUCAUCCGCAUUGCGCACUAUCGUAGUAGUACGUUGAUAGUGUGUGUGUGUGUGUGUGUGUGUGUGUGUGUGUGUGUGUGUGUGUGUGUGUGUGUGUGUGUGUGUGUGUGUGUGUGUGUGUGUGUGUGUGUUACCCGUUUGCACGCGAUUCGGUUGGUUCAUUUCUUAUGUGCACACCGUUCGCUCGAGAACAAAUCUGCGACAAAGCUUCGCUGCUCUUCGGGAUCACUUCGAAUUCGUUACAUUUCGGUAGCAUUUCCAGUGUCACCGUUGUAUCCACAAAACCCGUUGAUGGUUCACUUUUUCUCGGUUCGUCUCGGUUGAAAGGAGUCUAGUUUGAUGGUUUACUAUCAUCCAUGGACAUCUGCUUUUGGAUUGGUUGAACGACUCGUUUCUUUGGUUUUGUUUCUUGGGUUGAUCUCGGUGCUCGUUUCAGCCUUCAGCGAAUUCGUUUAGGCAUUCUUCUCAUAUCGGAAACGAGGGCUUCGUACACAUUCUCGAUUCUUCCACGUCGCUCAUCACUGGCUCAAAAGAUCAACAUACCGCUACAAAAGCGCACAAUGCCAACGAAUGGAAAAGAGGAGGGUAGUUACUCUCGCCAACAAAAAUUUCCUGAUUAGCUCAUGAUGGUAAUGACGACUAUUUUAAAAACUGGUUGGUGAUAAAUAUCGCCAUGCUCGCUGUUCCUACUUUUGAUGUGCCUGAAUCAUUAAUGAUUUUAUGGAUGGGUGACGUUACGGAUAUGAGCAUCCUCUAUGAAAUAAUGUGGUGCCCAUGCCGUGCGUUGUCUGAUUCACUUACCGACCCGUAAAAACUGCGGUUCGUAAGAUAUGUGAACCGUGGAACCUCGCAGAAAAAUGUUGCCAUCGUAGACACAGGAGUCUAAGCAGCGUACUGCUCUAUGACGAGGCAGAGUAACAUGCAUCACUGCGUGGUCUAACAUUUGUAUUGCCUGUCGUUUGUUCAUCGGACAGUGCUACCCACUGUCGCCGCUUGUUCACCUGUGCCUAAUUAGCGCCUUAGGUUGAUUAGUAUUGGUGUACAUAAUUAUAAAGUACUGUGCAAGAUUAGUAGGAACGGUGAACCGCCGUGGCGCCCUUGACGCGUCUGUGAUGUCGUUGUCUGCUAACUGUAGAGAUUACGCACUGUUCUGUCAUUUCGUGCUUGGAGUAUACCGCUUGAGCAAUUGUCAAACGACUGCUUCAAAUGGGCUGCCUGCAUUUAUUUUCCCUUAUGCCAAAUCAUGCGUAAUCGCGUCUAGACAAGAAGUGCACGAGCGCGCGCAAUGAAAUCUUUAAAGGAAUGUCCGCUUUAGUUGUAUGUUUUUAAGCGACUAGUUUACCAGUUUCCCUUCCACCUUUGCUUUACUGUACGCUGUGUUAAUACCUUUACACUGCUCUUCGAGUUUAUUUGAACGAGUUCCCUUGAAAUAGUGUUUGAAUUUGAUCAUGAUUCCGCUGUUGUCCUAAUGUCGCUUUAAGGACGCACACCUUGAGUUAUUACGUUCAGUGUUAUCAGUAACCUCUAAUAACCUUGUCUCCACAUUGCUUGAAAACUAUAUAAAAGGUGAACAAUGUAAAUGGCAAAUAAUUACCUGUACCGCUGUGAUGGGAAGUCGGGAAACCACGAAUGCGCGAUGCUGCUCAAUGUCGUGCGCAUUUUUUUUUUCUUGACCCCGAACAUGCACAAGGCUUUAUGAAGCCUUUCUGUAAAAAGUGUAUUUUUAUUUUCAUCGAUUAUAACGAUAGUCCUGCAAUUACGCCACACAAUACUGCAAAAGCUGUUUACAAUAUGAGCAGUGUGGAGAUUUGGACUUAGUCACGCAGAAAAGCUCAAAACAGCACUCGACAGUUUAUAAUACAAUAGUGAUGCACGACAUUACUGCACAUCGAGAGGCCUGUGUCAUAUGAGAGGAUGGGAUUCGGUACAUAUAGGAUCGUCGUGUAGAAAUGUUUGUCCCUUCUGUGCGUUUCACACCCAAGUGAGCAAGUUCGCAUACUUGCAUGUUUUCUCGUUUCCUAAAACAAGAAUCGGACUAACAUUCCUUCGAUCUCCAUGCGAACGUGCUGUACAACACUUGCUCGUUUAAAAAAAAUAAGUUAUAGGGUUUUACGUGCCAAAACCACGAUCUCGUAUGAGGCACGCCGUAGUGGGGGACACCGAAAAUUUGGACCACCUGGGGUUCUUUAACGUGCACCUAAAUGCGGUCGCCGUGGCCGGAAUUCGAUCCCGCGACCUUGUGCUCAGCAGCCCAACACCAUAGCCACUGAGCAACCACGGCGGGUCGUUGCUCGUUUCAGGCAGUUGUAAUAGCUUAAAACUGUAAAACAUCUCUGCUAUUCCUUGGCUUAUGCUGUUUCACUUUCAUUUGGUGUGUGUGGUACGACAACCGUGUUUUGCAUUUUUUUAUACGUUAAAGUAUCUUGAAGCUGAAAUUGUGUAUGCUAUGUACGCCCUGUUAUAUAUUUGAUGUGUUUGUAUUCAAAUGCCUAAAGGCUUAUUCCCAUUCUGUAUAUUAAAUGCAUUGUACGGUGCUCUCUGCAGCAUGGUGAAUUCCAGUCAGGGUGGCAUUGAGUCGCUUUCAGUUUUAUUUACUUGAGUCUUCUUUUGCGCCGAUUGUAUUGAACAUGCAUUGCAUUAAACUGCACCUUGCGAAU